rnacentral:lncRNA from 1 species
UCAGAGUGGCGCAGCGGAAGCGUGGUGGGCCCAUAACCCACAGGUCCCAGGAUCGAAACCUGGCUCUGAUAAUUGAUGAGUGGCUUCCAGCGUUUUUUUUUGCAUCUUUUUGGCUUUUUCGCAUCUGUGAUCCGUCUAUCAUUUGCUUUAACCAUACAUCUCUAGUGCAAGUUUUAUCAAUACGAAAAGGCAAAAUACAUAAGUAGCCACUUGAACUAUAUGUCAAAUCUCUGUUACACACUUUCUGAGUACCAAUAUUAUCUUACACACAUAAUCUUUUAAAAUUGUAUCUAGUACACAUCACUUUUUUCUUGACCAAUUUUUGUUUGGAGAUUGCAUCCACGUGCCAAUCAAAAUGUGACACGUGUCAUAACUCAUCUGUAAAUAAAUAGUACUCCAUAUAUUUAAAAUAAACCUUAAUUGAUUACAUUAAAAAAAAAAAUAUUAUGUCAUCUUCCCCAAGCACCCCCCUCCCUCCUCUUCCCAUCAGCCUCCUCUUUGGCCAUGGAGCUCAGAAGAGGAGAGCAUUAUCAUCUACCAUCUAUCGUUUUCAGAUCCAGGAAUGAAAGAGAUGAAUAUAGAAAUUGCAACUUUUCCUUCCUCCAUUUUCCUCCUCCAUUUUCAGAUCUUAUACUGCGACCAAACAAAGCAAAUCAAAGUUAAUUUUUGGUUUUCAUGAAUUAAAGAACUUCAUUGUGAAAAAAUCUCCAAUUUUCUCUUAUAAUUUUAUUCAUUCUCAUGAAAUACGAAAAACUAUUCCUUUUUAAUUAUGUAAUGUUGGAUGUUUUGGUGAAUUUUAAUUGUAGAAAAAGAAGUAAGACAAGCUUGGAAGGGCAAGAGACGACGGAGGAUUUAAUUUCUAUUAUUCUCAUGAAAGAGCACCUUGUUUAAAUUCUUUAUCAUGGGUUUUGAUGGAUUUUUUUAAGCUACAGGGGAAGAGAUGAAACAUAGGGGAAUUUGGGGAAGACAAGUGAGGAAAGGGUGGGUUGGGGGUAGGGGAGGGGAUAGUGGGGCUGGUAAUUUUGGGAAGGCGG